rnacentral:rRNA from 1 species
UGGAGCGUGUGGUUUAAUUCGAUGCUACACGAAGAACCUUACCAGGGCUUGACAUGGUUGUGGUAGCGAAGCGAAAGCGGAGCGACCCUUCGGGGAGCAAUCACAGGUGCUGCAUGGCUGUCGUCAGCUCGUGUCGUGAGAUGUUCGGUUAAGUCCGCUAACGAGCGCAACCCUCGCCGCGUGUUACAAGUGUCACGCGGGACUGCCAGUCUUAAGCUGGAGGAAGGUGGGGAUGACGUCAAGUCAGCAUGGCCUUUAUAUCUUGGGCA